UACCAGCACCCCGAGUGGUCGGGACGAUUAUUGGGCCUAAAGCAUCCGUAGCCGGUCAUGCAAGUCUUCCGUUAAAUCUAGCCGCUCAACGGUUGGGCUGCGGAGGAUACUACGUGGCUAGGAGGCGGGAGAGGCAAGCGGUACUCAGUGGGUAGGGGUAAAAUCCUUUGAUCCAUUGAAGACCACCAGUGGCGAAGGCGGCUUGCCAGAACGCGCUCGACGGUGAGGGAUGAAAGCUGGGGGAGCAAACCGG
rnacentral:rRNA from 1 species